rnacentral:tRNA from 4 species
GGGGAUAUGGCGGAAUUGGUAGACGCUACGGACUUAAAAUCCGUUGGCUUUAUUGACCGUGAGGGUUCAAGUCCCUCUACCCCCA